GGGCUCAGCCCAAUCGGGAGCUGUAAGAGGGGAGAGUUCUGCUGGCUGGGAGGGAUAUGGUUCAGAAUUAGUGUUACACUUCUUUCUUAGAACUGUUUUUGCUUUUAUUUUUUCCCCCCUGCUAGCAGCAGCCAUAACAAAACCUGUCCUUGCAAAGAAGUGUGUGUCAUCAAAGGUGGAGUCAGAGUACAAAGAGGAAGAAACCUCGGUUUGACACCGCCUCACUAAUCUCAGCAGUGUAUCGCUCAUUAUUCUGCACGGGAUUAAAGACUUUGUGGGGGCAGAUUCUUCAACUCAGAGACCUAAUUUUCCCCCACCUGUCCUCAGCAUAUAUUUUCCUCAGAGAAAAAAGGUCUACGGGUUUUUUUUUUUCCCUACAAAAAAGGACUGUAGAUGUCACCUGGUGGUUAUCUCUGACUAUGAAAUCCAUAAUCCUUACAGGAUUGCUUACUCCAUUUGAGAUUUUGUUACAUCCAGCAAUUUUCAGGAUUCACUGUUAUGAUCCCCACUGCAGCUAUGAUUCUCUUCAAGAUACAUAUUUUCUCUGGCUAUAUAACAACUCUUCAGCUUUAGGAGCAUUUUCUCAGG